rnacentral:rRNA from 1 species
AGCUCCAAUACCGUAUAUUAAAUUUGUUGCGGUUAAAAUGCUCGUAGUUGGAUUUCUGCUGAGGACGACCGGUCCGCCCUCUGGGUGAGUAUCUGGCUCGGCCUUGGCAUCUUCUUGGGGAACGUAACUGCACUUGACUGUGUGGAGCUGUAUCCAGGACUUUUACUUUGAGGAAAUUAGAAUGUUUCGAGCAGGCGCACGCCUUGAAUACAUUUGCAUGGAAUAAUAAGAUAAGACCUUGGUUCUAUUUUGUUGGUUUCUAGAACUGAGGUAAUGAUUAAUAAGGAUAUUUGGGGGCAUUCGUAUCUAACAGUCAGAUGUGAAAUUCUUGGAUUUGUUAAAGACGGACUACUGCGAAAGCAUUUGCCAAGGAUGUUUUCA